rnacentral:rRNA from 1 species
UUCCCGGGCCUUGUACACACCGCCCGUCACACCACGAAAGUUGGCAAUACCCGAAGCCGGUGGCCUAACCCGCAAGGGAGGGAGCCGUCUAAGGUAGGGUUGAUGAUUGGGGUG